ensembl:lncRNA
GGGGUAAGUGAUUAAUGACAAAAAAUUCAUUUUGGGGUGGAGUAUCCCUUUAACGGCACAUUUCAACAAUCAAACACAUAGUCUUAGUGUUGUAGGGGAAUUUACAGUUAAAACCCAAGGACCAGAUAUGAUGAAUGAAGACCAGGAGUCAGAGAUGCGUUCAAUUAAAGAAAAAUUUACUGAAGAACAUGGUUUGCAGUUUCAUCAGCAGAAGUCAGCUUCAGUACUCUCGAUGGAGUUCGUAGGCCGCUCUGCGUACAACUCAAAAUCACCAACAAUUAUACUCUUGACAGAGAACUAAUUGCGUCAAUGCAUAGGUCAGCAAAAUUCUGAUUGGUUCCAAAACCUAGAUAAACUUAGACAGUUUCCACAUAUGGACACAAGCUUGAAGCAUAUCUUCUGACGACUAUUCUGGUGACAAGUCGCUCCAAAGACGUAUAUCUGAUACGCUGGACAUCGGCAGUUGAACGUUUGUCCUGGGACUAUCUGAGCUUUUCCCUGUACAGACAGAUACUAACACACAUACGCAGAGAACUUAUCAGAACUUCAAGGCUGCCUAGCCCUAGCUAGAAUUUUAUCAGUAUGGUUUGUUACACACACACUAUGAAGUCAUCAUCUUAGAGAGUAGAAGUACAGCAUAAAGCAGGAUUUUUUAAUAUCUCAUAAGCGCACAUAAGGUUACACAUUUUACUCUUGCCAUAACUUGAUUAAUAGUCAAACAAGAAAUAACGUAAUAAUAUAAUUAAUAUCUAUAUGAAGGAUAUAGCAACUCAGCAUCCACUCCUUCAGUGUUGAAACAGCAAUUAGAAAUUAUAACAAAAAUACAACAGCAACACAAAAAUAGCAGCAAAGGUGAGGGAAGGUGAGGGUCUUAUUCUAGUAACAAAAACAAAUUCAAAGCAGAUUAGAGUUUCUGGGUGUUUUUGUCCAACAUGUAGCAGAGAGUGGGGCACAACAUAACACUUCAUUUUUAUUCACAUAAAUUUCACACCUGUCUAAUACAAAAUAUGUGGUCUUGUUUAAUAAAUAGUUUUUUUUGUUUGUUUGUUUGUUUUUUUUACCCCAAAAGAAUGGUAGGGAAAUGCCCCGUAGGUGGAGCACAUUGUAACAACUGAGGGGUUAUAUUGUAACAUGACCAUAUGACAGCUUAAGAUGUUGUCUGAUCUAAUGAAAAAGAUAUAAAAGACAAAAAAAAAAAAAAAAAAAUUAACAAAGCCUUUUUUUAAAAAAAAAGAAAAGAUUUUAAAUUAAACAAAUUUUGCUUGGGAUGGCCCUGAUGUUUUGACCCCCUCAUCAGAACACUCUGUUUGAACAGGCAUGGCAGAUUAUAGACUCAGAAGUAAACGCCCACUGCUAUGAUUGGCUAACAACUCGAGAUGCUAACAUGUUUGGACACCAGCAAAUAGCAAGCAGAAACUCUAGAAUGGCACGCAUCCUCAACCACAUCAGUGUUGCUGUUGGCCUAAGCUUCAUUUUGAUUAUUAUAAUCUACCUCAUUCUUGCUGUUGUCGUGACUACUACACGCUAUGGCAAACCGUAAUUGUAAGCAAUGUCAUGGUAGGACACCAGAAAGUUGAAGAAAGUGAGGAUUUUAGAAACAUGAGUAUCUUAUGUUUUAAAUACAAGAAGAUUUUCCAUUCUGCUUUUAAAUUUUAAUUUUGCUCAAGGUAUUUUUUAUAUGAUUGCUUUUAGACUUUACUGUAUGUAUGAGGAGCUCCAUCUGGAGGACCAGAGAGGGAUGAUUCAGUAUGUUUAGUGUAACUAACUCCUCACCAUAUCAUUGUUUUUACAUAUUUAAAAGACAUGCUUUUUAAAGUUAAUUAUUUUUUUGUUUUAAAACAAUGGAAGCUUUAACUGUUAAAGUAAAUGCAGCAUCAAUUAAAAAAAAAAAAAAUCUGCUUGUCUUUAUAUUAGGCUACAUAAAACUUGGAAUAAUUAUGUCAUAACUUUUAUCAUUGUCUGUUUUUUCCAUAAUACACUAACAUUUUCAUUUUCUCUGGUUUUUAGUUUAGUUUUAUAAUCUUCUCCAUCAUCAACAUCUUCUUCUUCUUGAAUGAAUGAAUGAAUGAAACAUUUAUAUAGCGCUUUAUUGUGUAUUGCUGUACACCCAAGGCACUUUAUAAUCAUAUCAUUGGAUUUCUCCUCAACCACCACCAGUGUGCAGUCACCUGGAUGAUACGACGGCAGCCACAGUACGACGGCGCCAAUGCGCUCACCACACAUCUAUUCAUAGUUUCUGUCACGUGACUGGCUCGAAGACCUGGUGGGCAAAACAUACACAGAACUGCAGCACAAGCCUGUCAAUUUUCUAUCUGUUCCGAUCAAAAAAUAUUUAGAACACAUCUCAAAAGAAUAAAACAAA